rnacentral:rRNA from 1 species
UAGAUGACCUGCUAGGACGAAGCUGGCGGCGUGCCUAAACAUGCAAGUCGAGCGCGCCUUCUCAGCUUGCUCCUGAAUGUAGCCGCGUGCGGAUGAGUAGCACGUGGGCAGCCUGCCUGUCCUACUGGUGUAAAUUCGGGAAACCGAGGCUAAUAUCGGAUAAUCCUUUUCCUCAAAUGAGGGAAAGCUGGCGGACGGCGUAGGCUGCGCUUAAAGAUGGGCCCGCGGCGCAUUAGCUAGUUGGUGAGGUAACGGCUCACCAAGGCAACGAUGCGUAGCCGACCUGAGAGGGUGAUCGGCCACACUGGGACUGAGACACGGCCCAGACUCCUACGGGAGGCAGCAGUAGGGAAUCUUCCGCAAUGGACGAAAGUCUGACGGAGCAACGCCGCG